GGACAGGGGGUUUCGGGGGACGGGUUCCGAGGUCCUCAGACCAGGCCACCCCACCUUCCGUGUGCACCUGACACACAAGCACCUCCUGAAAAGCAUUUCACAUCCUGAGCAUCCACCGCGUGGACCACGGACGCAACGGCCCUGGAACUCAGCCCGUGAGGGGCCUUCGGGGUCAGCGAGGACUCUGUCGAGCCCACGGGCUGGGUCCGUGCGGCGAAUUCGCCCUUGGUUUUGGCUCAGGCUCUGUCUUGGAAUUCCCGUCACUUAACAGGCAUGUGAAUACGUACACAGUCGGCCGGUACUUUCCGUGUUUUAACAGCCUUCUCGUGUACGUCCUCCAAAGCCAAUCCCAACCCUACUUGGACCGGAACGGGGUCUCUGUGACCGAACAAAGGAUAAAGGCAGAGGAGGACCCAUUUCCAGGAGCCUGCAGCACGUCCUGUGUGCCUUACAACGUGCCCGCGUGGUCCCGCAAAGAUGCUGUUGGGCAGAAUGUUCAUUUCUUUCAGGUCAGGUUUUUUUGACAGAUGCACAAAAGUCAGUCUGGGGUGAGGACGUGGAGGAGAGGGGUGUUGUUUUUUCUCUGCCAAGCAGUUCUUUAAAAGAGGAAAAUCAACAUUCCGUUCAAAGUGUCUUGACAUGACCUCAGGAGCACAGCCCUGUGUUCCUCGACUUUGCAUCUGGGCGGUUCUGGUGAAUUCUCGGCCUCUCCGUGGAUCCGUCUGCUUCCGAUGGCAACUGUCUCCUCAGCGGAGGAGAAAACGAGGCAGGGGGGUGCCGGGUGGCGGCAGGGUGAAGGGAGCAAGCCAGCCCCGCCUGGGGCUUCUAACUCCGCCAUGGGGCUCACUGCUGUCCCGUCACACACGCUGCUGUGGCUUUGGCACUCCGGUGGCUUUGCCGGGUGUCUGGGACCACGCACCUCCCGGGUAGGGUGUUUGCUUUGACCGAGGUGCCGCUGAGAGAGGCCUUUCCAAAGCGAGUGGAGCAGGAGCUGAGAUGCCGGCUGCCGCGGGGACGCUCGCGGGUGGGGACUCUCCACACGCACGUGGGGACAGCGGGCUCACCGUCCUGUCUGUCGUCUCCGGGCCUCGCUUCCCCACCUUCUGCGUUCUCCCGGGUGAAAAGCUCAGACAUCCGGGUCCGGCGCCCGCUGGAGGCCUCUGGCCGCCAGCUUGUGUGUGGGCCGCCCCCACGAGCGAGGAGCAGUGUUACUCCCGCCAGACUUAGGGCCUCCUCUUUCCCGUUGCCCCCCUGCCAGCCAGACGCGCCCGGGGGGCUCUAGGCACUGCAGGCAGUAGAGGACAGGCGGUGGCUCGUCCUUCAUCCCGGCGCAGGCUCAGCCGAGCCCGGGCGGGGACAGCGACCCGCCACCCGACCUCCCAAGGGCACGCGUCACGCGACAACCCAACUAGCGAGGGCUCCACGCGUGUCAGGCGCUGGUUUCCAAGGGCGGGUCGGCCCCGGCGCGCCGAGGCCCCCGUGGCCUUGUGGGCUCGUCCGCUGCCCCGGCCCCGCGGCCGGCCCUGCCCCGGGCACCUGCGCGGGACCCCACGUGCGGAUUCAAAGGCCCCUGGAAGGGUUUUCUGCCACCGCGCCUUUCCUUUGCCUGCUUCCCCUCAGGGGCUGCCCCACUCGCUUUGGCAAAAGUGACUUCCCCACGCAUUCACGACCUGCUGCGGCCCGGACGUGGCCCGUGCUGACCGAGGACGGGGAGGGCCUGGCAGGGUCGGCGCG